CCCUGCUAAUUUGCGGCUUUCUGUGCCAGAUACAUCAUAGUUAAUAAAAAAACUUCUGCUGUAAUGGAGGUACUCAUCUUUAGUAGUGUGCUUAAUUUGAUUCAUCACCUCAAGUGUUUUACACAAAAUUUGAACUAUGUGUAUCUACUGGUGAGUCCUUGGGCCUCGCUCUAUUUCAGUUUUCAAGAUGGAAGAAUGUCUUAAAGUUUCAACUACUAUUUACUAAUUGUAGGCUCCUUAGAAGAUUCCACCUAAUCUUUAGAAACAGAAAAUUAUAAGUAUAUUGUCCGCUAGAUGCAAGCAUGAGUAGCUCAAAACUGAAACGCUGCCAUCUCGGACCUCCUCCAUGGUUUGCCAGGCUACCAAGAUCAAUAAUGUAGCGACAUGAGGAGGGAAUUUGAUCAAGACAUAAGUAGGUAAAUACCCCUAGCUAUUUUCUUUAUAUAUUUUGCCCUUCUCUCACUGUAUUCUAUUUUGCCUUUUAGUGAUUGUAAAAUUAAAGUCUUCAAUAAACAUACAUUUACUUAUGCUUCAGAGGAUAAGCCUUCUGUAAAUACACCCACCCACGCCUAAGAUUUUAGCAAAUAAAUCUUGGCUCAAUAACUUUUGUUUUUAAUGGAAGGAACAAUUUCUUCAGUGACUAACUACAUCUUUUUCUUUGCUAGGCUGUAGACAAGAUAGGUGAUAUUAAAUGUUUCCUCACAAAUAACCUCUCUAAUUGACGAGAAUAACUGGGUAUGUAACAAUGUUAACAUUGGUAGUUUAUCGGCACAGUACUAAUGUUGCCUUAAUGCACAAUAAACUCAAAUAUCGUCCUCUCAGUAUAUGCCUCUACAAAAGGGUGCUUAAUGAAUUCAAUGGUUUGCCUCAUUUGUACAGAAAUUUGGACCAUUCUAGCUCAUUGAGAUAGUUUCUAAUUUAGUUUGUUGAUUAUAUUUUAUUACUACAGUUUUACUGGGCUGUGUCCUCAUGGAUUUCAAGUUUCGCUGGAGAUAUGUCAUCUGCCAAUGUUAGAAGAAUAGGUGCUUCCAUAGAAAAAGGUCUUUGUCUCGAUUCCUUCCCUUUGAAGGAAACUCCAAAUCGAGUCGUCGCGCCAUGCCUAGGCUUGCUAAAAGCUAACUCAUGUCUUAGAGAUUUUUAGUAGCGAAUUUAAGUGCAUGGUUACUGAUGUGGCUAUGGAAUGCACGGGUUGUACAGCAACUAAGUUUGUAGAGUGAAUUCACGUGCUCAUAAAGGAAGUGGUGAAACCCAAUAAACAAUAUCAUAUGGAUGCAUCUUAAGAGGUGCACAAUUGGCAUAUAUUUCGAUUGUGCUCCUUCAGGCCAUCUUUGAUGCUCAGAUUGUGCUUUCAUUGACAUUCACAUAUUCUUGUUGUUAUUGUGUAUGUGCAGCUACUGAUAUAGGUCUCUUAUAUGAAUGUUAGAUGUCAUUUCUAAAUUCAUGUUGUAACUAUUUCUGCCUUGCUAAGCUGAGAUCAGGGACUGCUGGUCAUUUCUGAAGAUCAGGACACAACCAGCCUCAUUUCUAAAGAUCAGGACCCAACCAGCCAUCCUAAUCUGAGUGUCGGAUAUUUGGAAGUUUGAAGAAGCCUAACAUGCAUAACAUUAGGAGCCCCCCUCUCCCAGUCGAGAUCAGGCAAGGCAGAUGGGAAGCAGCGGCGCCCCCUCUCCCUCGAGCUCUAGAUCCAUGGCACCAGCAUCGAGGUAAGUAGCAGCACCUCCUCUUCCAUCAUUUUUUCACCAUCUCCGAUUAAGGAGCUUUAGAUUUGCUCAUUUGUAUGAAAGGUUGACUCAAAUUUUGAAGGACGUCCCAUAUACUUUAGUGCUUAUCUGUUUGUCUUAAAUUCUUAUGGCCUGAUCUCUGCCCAUAGGAAUGUGACUAUUGGCUCUGUUGUCUCUUAAAACAGAAAAUGGAUAAUGCAAAUUUGGUGACUAAACUUGGUGACAAGCUCCCCGUCUCUCUUCUCUGCAUGUAUCCCCAUCUCUGUUCUUAGGAGACAUGCUGAAGAGUGUCUUCCUCUCGUUGCUUUGCAGGUCAUAUCUCAGAAUACAUCAUGUCAAGAACUGGUAGCCAAAGAUCUCCAUGGAACUGAGUGACAUUUCUUGGUGACUUUACAAUAUUCAGCUUGAAGCCCUUAAAUUUCCAGUAGUUGUGUCCUUAUUGUUUUGGUGUAGCACUUCAUGUAACAAUUGAAUGCUGAAUUCAUUACUUCAUGAGUAUGUGUGGCCUCUCUCCCUCUGUCUGAUUCUAUAUCAUGCCUUUCAGUGUUUUGUGUUUUAGAUUCCAUAAUCUCCUUGUAUUUGAGUGUCAUUUAUUUGGCUCCUUCAAUAUUUGUAGUGCAACUUCCUAAAUGUCAUGUCCAUGUGUUACCAAAGAUAGAAAAAAGAAACUGGAAUGGGCGGCUGCCAACCUAGCACCGCACAUCUUCCUCUCAGGAGGCGUCACAAGGUGGCGCCCCAACCCCUAGUAUAUAUAUCAAUGCACCAAUUCUCCUCAUCCUGAACCAACUUCAAGAGCUUAGUGGAGAUCUCAGUUUCUUUUCAGUUUAGUCAUGUUCGUAGAGGGUCCAAUGUAACUCGCCGGAAGAGCAGAUCGACCGGUGGUGGCUGCAGACACGAGUUGGGAAGAUAGAGAACUUGUCGUCGAUUCCGACGCUGGUGGCCGACUUGGGCUUGCGUGCGGGUAGGUUGCAGCCUCACGGUGCUCCGGCGGUUCUGUUCCUGCUCGGCAGCGGGGUUCUCGAGCUAGUUGGCAGCGACAAUAAAUAUCGUGUUUUUUGGACGGAUUCUGGCACUGACAAGGGAGGAGACGGUCAGUGUGUGGGUGGGCGGGGAGGAGGCGGGGCGGCGGCAUCGCAAGUCCGGUUUGGGCCAAGACGCACAAGCAAGCUAAAGUAUUUUUGAUGAGACCUGUUUUUUUUUAUGAAUGUCCGCAAAAUGAUCACAUGUACUACUUGAUACAUAUGGCGGGAGAGGCCUAAACUAGUGCACGAGGAGAAAGUUAAAGAUGCUAACUAGAUUUCUAUUUUUAUAGGGAUUCGUGUUCUAAGGACAAACUAUGUUAUUAGGAAGUUGGAGUCUCCCCUCCAAGGAUAUGUUCAACACUCAACUUACCGUUGAUG
rnacentral:lncRNA from 1 species